ACCACUGUGCCACCAGGGAAGACCUCAAAUCCUAUCUUUGCCACUUGUUAUCUAUAUGAAAUUGGGCAAAAUACCUAACCUCUCUGAGCCUCUGCUUUUUCAUUUGCAAAAUGAAAAUAAUACUUCCUUAUAAGUUGUUGUGAAAAAAUAUUUGGUUGGUGUAGGAUACUAGACACUUACACAGUGUCUGGCACAAAGAAACACAGUAAAAGGUAGUUAUCGUUAUUUUUUUAUUAUUCUGAGUUUCUUUCUGUCCUGAAAAAGAAAAGAUCAAAGAGCUUGGAAGACACCUGCUAGUUAAGGACCACUACGCUACUCCUAGAACUGUUUGACCCGAGCAGUUUCAAUUUGCAUGACUAGAAGGGUGCUGCAGUAACCUGAUUUGGCAUUUGAACAACUGCCAUACCUUUUGAUUGGGGCCUUUUGCCCCUGGGAGUCCUCAGACAUCUGCUGGAACCCCAUGAGCUUGACAUACAUUUGGAAUGAGUGAAGAAUGCUAUGGAAGUGAGAAUUUUCAUAACAUACACAUUUGUCUAAAAAGCUUGUGAGUACAACAAACUUUGUUGGAGGAAGAUAACCUAGAGAAAAUACUAUGAUAAAAAUUACAAAAUAUUAACUUCUGUGAUCUUCGUUCCACAUGGCACGUUGAGAAAAAUCCAAUAGGUAAUUUAAUGUAUUUGAUCAGCUUAUAUCUUUGCUGAAGCGUUUGGGGUUCAAUUAGUGGCAAAGAAGUCAUCAACUUUUAGUGCUGGAAGGAAUCUUGGAAAUCUCAUUCCAGCAUCUUUAGUUUAUCGAAGAAGGAACUGAGACCCAGAGGGGUGUGAGGACAUUCACCAAAACCAACAGAAGGUUAUCAGAGUGCCCCGGACAGAAACCCCAGCUCCUGUCUUAGUCUUGGGCCCAGUUCACUGGGGCAGAGCCUACAUUAAUUAUCCCUUAUUUUUUUUUU